GCUGGCGGCAUGCUUUACACAUGCAAGUCGAACGGUAACGCGGGCUUCGGCCUGGCGACGAGUGGCGAACGGGUGAGUACAACAUCGGAACGUAUCCUGAAGUGGGGGAUAGCCCGGCGAAAGCCGGAUUAAUACCGCAUGAUCUCUUAGGAGCAAAGCGGGGGAGCCGUAAGGUCCUCGCGCUAUUGGAGCGGCCGAUGCCGGAUUAGCUUGUUGGUGGGGUAAAGGCCUACCAAGGCAACGAUCCGUAGCUGGUCUGAGAGGAUGAUCAGCCACACUGGAACUGAGACACGGUCCAGACUCCUACGGGAGGCAGCAGUGGGGAAUUUUGGACAAUGGGGGCAACCCUGAUCCAGCCAUGCCGCGUGCGGGAAGAAGGCCUUCGGGUUGUAAACCGCUUUCAUACGGGACGAAAUGGUGCAGGUUAAUACCCUGUAUUGAUGACGGUACCGUAAGAAGAAGCACCGGCUAACUACGUGCCAGCAGCCGCGGUAAUACGUAGGGUGCGAGCGUUAAUCGGAAUUACUGGGCGUAAAGCGUGCGCAGGCGGCUCUUUAAGACAGGUGUGAAAUCCCCGG
rnacentral:rRNA from 1 species